CCUGCCUUCUGCAUUCCCUCAGUCUGCUGAGGACCAAGAGGGAAUCUCUGGGAAGUCAGUGGCUCAUGGGAUCAGGCUGAGGCUCAGGAACAGUUCAACAUGUUGUCUGAAUCCAUGCAUCCAUGCAGGAUCCAGGAGUAAGCUAAGAGCUGGACACCUAAUAUGGUCAAUGCCGGAGGCCCGAGGACCAUAUCAAAUGGCCAGAAUUGUAGCUCCCGAUAUUACGUAAGAAAUGACUUCAACAAUAUCUAAGCAUCCAUCUAAUCUCCUAGGAGGAAUCUUUGGUUUGAGGUCAAGGCUUCUAUUGUUGGAGUUAAAAGCUUACAAGGGCAUCAUUUAGGAGCUGGGUUCAGCUGUAAUGUUCCUGGGACAACCCUCACAAGAGCUCGAGCUUGGUGUGAACAGUCACCAGAAAUGAAUCCUAGGAGGGAAUCUCCCCAUAACCAUGGGUUCAGACUGCCCAUUCCCUGUUGGAGUUGACUUUGGGCUCCCCUGGCUACUCUCCUUCCUGAAUCUACAGAUGCACACACCGGAAGUUAGGAGCCCUUUCUAGCAGGUGAUGGCUGUCUACCAUCUUGGAAUCAUGGUGACAAAGGAGUCACGGUAUCUUCCUUCUAAGUGCAGCCUGUGUUAUGGUCUAACAACUACUCUGACUCUACACUGUCUGGUGGUUCUGUAUGUGUGGUGGGUGCUUGCUUGGUAAGACACCAUCUGUGAACGCACCUAUUGGAGGAAACACCUACAAUGUAAAGCAUGAGCUUCGAGGUCGAAAAUCUGUGUGUUCCCGUCAUUUCAGCAUUUGCUGUUUUCUAGCUGUGUGGCCAGAAGAAAGCCUCCUACUGGAUCUC